rnacentral:rRNA from 1 species
UUCCAGACUCCUACGGGAGGCAGCAGUGAGGAAUAUUGGUCAAUGGGCGAGAGCCUGAACCAGCCAAGUCGCGUGAGGGAAGACGGUCCUAUGGAUUGUAAACCUCUUUUGCCGGGGAGCAAAAAGCGGUACGUGUACCGCAUCGAGAGUACCCGGAGAAAAAGCAUCGGCUAACUCCGUGCCAGCAGCCGCGGUAAUACGGAGGAUGCGAGCGUUAUCCGGAUUUAUUGGGUUUAAAGGGUGCGUAGGCGGACGCUUAAGUCAGCGGUAAAAUGGCGGGGCUCAACCUCGUCGAGCCGUUGAAACUGGGUGCCUUGAGUGGGCGAGAAGUACGCGGAAUGCGUGGUGUAGCGGUGAAAUGCAUAGAUAUCACGCAGAACUCCGAUUGCGAAGGCAGCGUACCGGCGCCCAACUGACGCUGAAGCACGAAGGCGUGGGUAUCGAACAGGAUUAGAUACCCUAGUA